AACAUACCUGAGUGUAACACAGGAAGCUACCUGCUGCACAGAUGGACAGGUACACUGACACACAGGAGGACAGGUACACUGACACACAGGAGGACAGGUACACAGGUGGACAGGUACACUGACACACAGGAGGACAGGUACACUGACACACAGGAGGACAGGUACACUGACACACAGGAGGACAGGUACACUGACACACAGGAGGACAGGUACACUGACACACAGGUGGACAGGUACACUGACACACAGGUACACUGACACACAGGUGGACAGGUACACUGACACACAGGUACACUGACACACAGGAGGACAGGUACACUGACACACAGGAGGACAGGUACACAGGUGGACAGGUACACUGACACACAGGAGGACAGGUACACUGACACACAGGAGGACAGGUACACUGACACACAGGUGGACAGGUACACUGACGGACAGGUGGACAGGUACACUGACGGUACACUGACACACAGGAGGACAGGCACACUGACACACAGGAGGACAGGUACACUGACACACAGGUGGACAGGUACACUGACGGACAGGUGGACAGGUACACUGACGGUACACUGACACACAGGAGGACAGGCACACUGACACACAGGAGGACAGGUACACUGACACACAGGUGGACAGGUACACUGACGGACAGGUGGACAGGUACACUGACACACAGGUGGACAGGUACACUGACGGACAGGAGGACAGGUACACUGACACACAGGAGGACAGGUACACUGACACACAGGAGGACAGGUACACUGACACACAGGAGGACAGGUACACUGACACACAGGUGGACAGGUACACUGACGGACAGGUGGACAGGUACACUGACACACAGGUGGACAGGUACACUGACACACAGGUGGACAGGUACACUGACGGACAGGUGGACAGGUACACUGACACACAGGAGGACAGGUACACUGACACACAGGAGGACAGGUACACUGACACACAGGAGGACAGGUACACUGACGGACAGGUGGACAGGUACACUGACACACAGGAGGACAGGUACACUGACGGACAGGUGGACAGGUACACUGACACACAGGUGGACAGGUACACUGACGGACAGGUGGACAGGUACACUGACACACAGGAGGACAGGUACACUGACACACAGGAGGACAGGUACACAGGUGGACAGGUACACUGACACACAGGAGGACAGGUACACUGACACACAGGAGGACAGGUACACUGACACACAGGUGGACAGGUAC